rnacentral:lncRNA from 1 species
AGAGGAGUAACUUGCCUAGUAACACAGCUGUGCAAUCUCUCGGCUGGAUCCACAACGAGUUUGCCCCGGUGCCUCGUCUUGUUCUCUCCACUGCCAUGCCCUCCUGCCACCCUUCUCAGUCUCCUGAGACAUCCAGCGCACCCUGGUUUCCUCCAUGAUGAACUUGCAUGAUACAUGUGGAAUGUCAUCAUCACAGUGCUGGUCAAACAAACGGAAAUGGU